GGCGGAUGUGCCGCCUCCAGCGGGUGACAGAAAUAUCGGGAGCAAGGACUCGCUCGUCGUCUUGAGGAAGCGGAUGCACGACAAGGAGGUGCACGAGCCGACCAACAUAAACAUAAACACCCUGCUAGGUGUGGCCGCGACGCUGCUGCUGACUGUCCUCCUGAUCGGCUACAUCAUCGCUGGCGGACAGCACUCGCCAGUGAGUACACCGACA
rnacentral:lncRNA from 1 species